rnacentral:rRNA from 1 species
GAGAAUGCCGGUGUGAGUAGCGAAAGACGGGUGAGAAUCCCGUCCACCGAUUGACUAAGGUUUCCAGAGGAAGGCUCGUCCGCUCUGGGUUAGUCGGGUCCUAAGCUGAGGCCGACAGGCGUAGGCGAUGGAUAACAGGUUGAUAUUCCUGUACCACCUAUAAUCGUUUUAAUCGAUGGGGGGACGCAGUAGGAUAGGCGAAGCGUGCGAUUGGAUUGCACGUCUAAGCAGUAAGGCUGAGUAUUAGGCAAAUCCGGUACUCGUUAAGGCUGAGCUGUGAUGGGGAGAAGACAUUGUGUCUUCGAGUCGUUGAUUUCACACUGCCGAGAAAAGCCUCUAGAUAGAAAAUAGGUGCCCGUACCGCAAACCGACACAGGUAGUCAAGAUGAGAAUUCUAAGGUGAGCGAGCGAACUCUCGUUAAGGAACUCGGCAAAAUGACCCCGUAACUUCGGGAGAAGGGGUGCUCUUUAGGGUUAACGCCCAGAAGAGCCGCAGUGAAUAGGCCCAAGCGACUGUUUAUCAAAAACACAGGUCUCUGCUAAACCGUAAGGUGAUGUAUAGGGGCUGACGCCUGCCCGGUGCUGGAAGGUUAAGAGGAGUGGUUAGCUUCUGCGAAGCUACGAAUCGAAGCCCCAGUAAACGGCGGCCGUAACUAUAACGGUCCUAAGGUAGCGAAAUUCCUUGUCGGGUAAGUUCCGACCCGCACGAAAGGCGUAACGAUUUGGGCACUGUCUCAACGAGAGACUCGGUGAAAUCAUAGUACCUGUGAAGAUGCAGGUUACCCGCGACAGGACGGAAAGACCCCGUGGAGCUUUACUGUAGCCUGAUAUUGAAAUUCGGCACAGCUUGUACAGGAUAGGUAGGAGCCUUUGAAACGUGAGCGCUAGCUUACGUGGAGGCGCUGGUGGGAUACUACCCUAGCUGUGUUGGCUUUCUAACCCGCACCACUUAUCGUGGUGGGAGACAGUGUCAGGCGGGCAGUUUGACUGGGGCGGUCGCCUCCUAAAAGGUAACGGAGGCGCUCAAAGGUUCCCUCAGAAUGGUUGGAAAUCAUUCAUAGAGUGUAAAGGCAUAAGGGAGCUUGACUGCGAGACCUACAAGUCGAGCAGGGUCGAAAGACGGACUUAGUGAUCCGGUGGUUCCGCAUGGAAGGGCCAUCGCUCAACGGAUAAAAGCUACCCCGGGGAUAACAGGCUUAUCUCCCCCAAGAGUUCACAUCGACGGGGAGGUUUGGCACCUCGAUGUCGGCUCAUCGCAUCCUGGGGCUGUAGUCGGUCCCAAGGGUUGGGCUGUUCGCCCAUUAAAGCGGUACGCGAGCUGGGUUCAGAACGUCGUGAGACAGUUCGGUCCCUAUCCGUCGUGGGCGUAGGAAAUUUGAGAGGAGCUGUCCUUAGUACGAGAGGACCGGGAUGGACAUACCUCUGGUGUACCAGUUGUCGUGCCAACGGCAUAGCUGGGUAGCUAUGUGUGGACGGGAUAAGUGCUGAAAGCAUCUAAGCAUGAAGCCCCCCUCAAGAUGAGAUUUCUUAACUUCGGUUAUAAGAUCCCUCAAAGAUGAUGAGGUUAAUAGGUUCGAGGUGGAAGCAUGGUGACAUGUGGAGCUGACGAAUACUAAUCGAUCGAAGACUUAAUCAA